GACGUGGGGGGCCAGCGUUGCUCGGAAUUACUGGGCGUAAAGGGUCCGUAGGCGGUGCGGCAAGUCGGGGGUGAAAUCUCUGGGCUUAACCCAGAGGCUGCCUCCGAAACUGCCGUGCUCGAGUGCGGGAGAGGCGAGCGGAAUUGCAGGUGUAGCGGUGAAAUGCGUAGAUAUCUGCAGGAACACCCGUGGCGAAGGCGGCUCACUGGACCACAUCUGACGCUGAGGCGCGAAAGCUAGGGGAGCAAACAGG
rnacentral:rRNA from 1 species